rnacentral:rRNA from 1 species
UAAGACGAACCGUGCGAACGUUGUUCGGAAUCACUGGGCUUAAAGGGCGCGUAGGCGGGCUGUCAAGUCUGGGGUGAAAUCCCACGGCUCAACCGUGGAACUGCCUCGGAUACUGACGGACUCGAGGGAGGUAGGGGCGUGCGGAACUGUGGGUGGAGCGGUGAAAUGCGUUGAUAUCCACAGGAACUCCGGUGGCGAAGGCGGCACGCUGGACCUCUUCUGACGCUGAGGCGCGAAAGCCAGGGGAGCAAACGG